UUUUUUUUUUUUUUUUUUUUUUUUUGCCCAUAAUAUCCAUCCCUCUCAGUCACUAAGUGACUGUGACAACACUUGUACAGUUGUUGGUGGCAUUAAAUCAGAUGGUGUAUAAGAGUAUUUUGAAAAACUGUAAAGGAGGAUGUGGCUGUAGGGGCUGGUAGUUCUCAUGAGUAUUACUGCUCUUCUUUCGCACAGCUUUAAGAAUAUCAGCAGAGGAACAGCCCUGGUGUUCCGGCAGGAGCAAAGACAAAAAAGAAAAAAACUGGAAGUAGCCCUGAGAAAACCAUUUCUGGUGGUUGUCACUCACCUGGGGAUGUGAGUCUUGGCUGGCCAGGCUCCUGGGUAAUUGUUGAGAUUGCUGGGUAAUUGUAGAGAAUUCUGUGUUUGAAUCCUGCCUCUCCCUCUGCUAGGGAUCUGAUUUAUGGCAAAUUGCUUGAGCUGUUUGGGCCUGUUUUUCACAUCUAUAAAAUAGGGGUAAUAUUGUUUGACUUCCAGUUGUGAAGUUUAAAUGAGAUUCCUUGUUGUUGUUGUUUUUCUGGUAAUCCCUAGUACAUGGCCUGCUGUAAACACCCACGAUACCCAGGAAAUGGUCAUUGCUGUUUGAUUUUCCUCAACCCCCGUCUCAAGGGGAAGCUGGGCCAAUGAGGACAGCCACUUGCCAUUAGGCUGUCGCUUUAGGAGUCACUGAAGGGGGCCCAGGCUGUGGUGAGGAGAGCCACAGGCACUAGGAGUAAGAGAAGAUCUAACUUGCCACCAGCUUGCUGGGUGAUCACAGAAAAAUCACUUCUUCCCCUGGGCCUCAGUUUCUUCCUCUGUAAGAUGAUACUGGAGAAGAUCAGUGUCUUUCAAACUUAUUUUUUAGCUGGAGCCCCCUUAGUUCAAGUGAACCCUUACUCAGAAGUCUGGUUUUUUAAUGGAGGUGGAGGUCUGGAGCUCUACCAGAUUCAUCACCCACAUCCCGGGCCUGAGAAAAGGGAGCCAGUGAGCGUAUUAAGAGCUGCAUUGGUCAGGUGACUCCACUCUGUGACUGCACCACUCAGGGGACUUUUCCAUCUAUUUGUUCCUGCCCCUGGCAAGGCAGCAGGUGGCCGUUUGGAAGAAUGGCACAGGCCAUGGUUUUAAUCUCCUCUGCUCUUCUUCAGCAUUUCAUUUCCUGAACCCACAUCUUCCUCCCACGCUGACUUUCUUGUUUCUCUCUAAGCCGCUUCUGUCUUUCUCCCUGUCCUUGUUUCUCCCUUGUCAUCUCCUAUAGAUUCAGGACAUUCAGAAGGUGCUUGUGUCCAACCUUAACCAUUCCAACGGGGUAGCACUCCCCCAUUGGACAAGUGGAAGGUUAGGCAGUGCUGAGAUCCCUCUCUGGCUUGCUGUCUCCAGCUGUGCAUGCCCCUGAGGCUUCUCUAGUUUGGGGAAUAGUUUGCCUCUGGCUUAUUUUAUGUUGCUGCCAUUAAUCUUUGGCCUGUUUAUGUCUGCUUCUUCACCUGCUUGAUUGAUUGGGUUUUUUCC
rnacentral:lncRNA from 1 species